rnacentral:tRNA from 1 species
UGCCUUGAUGGUGAAAUGGUAAACAUAAUUAAUUCAAAAUUAGUAACUUAAUAAAAAGUUUAGAGGUUCAACUCCUCUUCAAGGCAA